rnacentral:rRNA from 1 species
CUCCUUUGACGUUAGCGGCGGACGGGUGAGUAACACGUGGGUAACCUACCUAUAAGACUGGGAUAACUUCGGGAAACCGGAGCUAAUACCGGAUAAUAUUUCGAACCGCAUGGUUCGAUAGUGAAAGAUGGUUUUGCUAUCACUUAUAGAUGGACCCGCGCCGUAUUAGCUAGUUGGUAAGGUAACGGCUUACCAAGGCGACGAUACGUAGCCGACCUGAGAGGGUGAUCGGCCACACUGGAACCGAGACACGGUCCAGACUCCUACGGGAGGCAGCAGGG